GACGAACGCUGGCGGCGUGCCUAAUACAUGCAAGUAGAACGCUGAAGAGAGGAGCUUGCUCUUCUUGGAUGAGUUGCGAACGGGUGAGUAACGCGUAGGUAACCUGCCUGGUGGCGGGGGAUAACUAUUGGAAACGAUAGCUAAUACCGCAUAAAAUGGAUUAUCGCAUGAUAAUCCAUUGAAAGGUGCAAAUGCAUCACUACCAGAUGGACCUGCGUUGUAUUAGCUAGUUGGUGGGGUAACGGCUCACCAAGGCGACGAUACAUAGCCGACCUGAGAGGGUGAUCGGCCACACUGGGACUGGGACACGGCCCAGACUCCUACGGGAGGCAGCAGUAGGGAAUCUUCGGCAAUGGACGGAAGUCUGACCGAGCAACGCCGCGUGAGUGAAGAAGGUUUUCGGAUCGUAAAGCUCUGUUGUAAGAGAAGAACGAGUGUGAGAGUGGAAAGUUCACACUGUGACGGUAUCUUACCAGAAAGGGACGGCUAACUACGUG
rnacentral:rRNA from 1 species